rnacentral:lncRNA from 1 species
GUGAUUAAUUCAGAUAGAACACGUUUACAACCUCUCCUUGCCUUCACGGGAUCACUGCAGACAGUUUCUGAGGCUGAGAGCUGAAGACUGCCUUUCCCUAAUCUCAUUCUGAAUUUUUCAGCGGCUGUCAGACCCUCCAGGGUCAGGACAAGAAUCCAUCUGUUACACCAAGAACAGAUGUCGUGACCCAUGAGUCACGUAUUUUCUGUUCUUGCUCAGAAGGUCUCAGUCCCUGUAGCAGAUUCUCACUCUCACUUGUCACUCAAAGCAACCCAAACCCAUCUCCCUUCCUGAGCCUGGCUCCAGAUUCCCUUGGCAGCCAGCUGGGCUCCUUCCUCCAAGGGCCCCCUCUCUGCCUGCCCGGCCUGCCUCCUCACCCUGCAGGACCUGGGAGCGCUUGGACCCAUUCCCACUGUCUCCCAGCACCACGCUUACUCCUGGUGCACCAGCCCACCUUUGCUAUGUGGUAGAGAAAGGCUCCAUCCGUGGGGCCUACCUUCAGGCUGUGCAGCUGGUGCUGCCAGAGGGACGGUUGGGUGAGGGCGACACACCUGAAACAUAGAUGUACUUCUGAGUCAGCAGCUUGGGGAGCUGAAGGAAGGAGCCUGGGGGGCCGGAGUUCUGGAUGGAAAAAGCACCCGGCCCAUCCCUGGGUAAGGUCCAGCUGUGAGCAGGAUAGUUAAAACUCCUGCCCUUACCAAGGGGCAUGGAUGUGGACCCUACAACCCUUUGGCCCGACCCUUACCCAUGGCCGGCCCUGAGCAAUUCCUCCUCUAUGUUGCCCACGACCUCCAGGGUCAAGCGUGGGGCACCCAGAGAUGUCACCAGGAUGCCACUUGGAGGAGUGCUUGCUUUGCCCAAGGGCCGGAGAGGUUGUGAAAGGCGGGAGGCAGGAGCGACAGGAGGAACCACACUGCUUCCCUGAACUCAGGGAGGCCAAGGGCAGGGUGUCACCUUGUCCACCUUUAGACCCCAGGGUCGGCCACGGGGCCACCGUGCAAACCGCAGCACAGUGCCUUACAAACAUCACCUUUCCCCACAGGCAAACCAGCAAGUCAGGGCUCCUGUCUUUGUGCAGGCUGCUAAACCGAGGCCGAGAGCUUUGUGGCGGUGCCGGCAGCUGCCAGGUGAGUGAUGGCGCUGGGACUGGACGGAGGCACUGUGGAGGCCGAGACCUUCCCUUCUGGACACCCGACUAGGAGGCUUGGGGAGCCAGGCUGGUUUUCAGGGACUCGGUAAUGGUGCAGAAGGCGGCAGGCGCCCAGGUGACCUCUCACUGUGCUCAGGAGCUGAAGUCCGGGAGAGGGGCGGAGAGGGCCGCGGGAGCCAGCAGGCCCGGGGGCGGUGGGCCGGGGCGUUCCG